UACGUAGGGUGCGAGCGUUGUCCGGAAUUAUUGGGCGUAAAGAGCUCGUAGGCGGUUUGUUGCGUCGGCCGUGAAAACCUGCAGCUUAACUGUGGGCCUGCGGCCGAUACGGGCAGACUUGAGUUCGGUAGGGGAGACUGGAAUUCCUGGUGUAGCGGUGAAAUGCGCAGAUAUCAGGAGGAACACCGGUGGCGAAGGCGGCUUCCUGGACACUAACUGACGCUGAGACGCGAAAGCGUGGGGAGCAAACAGG
rnacentral:rRNA from 1 species